GUUAAGCAGGUCUGCCAGCUUCAACUUUGUGCCUGGGGAGCCCUAAGUUGCCAUAUAUGAAGCUGGAUGGGGUGCCCUGUUUAGAGAGACCACAUACAGAGAGUAGGAAAAGGAGGAAAGACUCUUAGACUGCAGGGAGGAAAACUAAGGCCAACAGAGAAACUGUGUCCUCACAGUUAGGAGCCCCAGUUGAGUGAUUCCAGCCAACCCCAGCUGCCCUAACCAUCCUGGUUGAGGUGUCGUCAGGCAUUCCUGUUUUUACAAAGGAGAAGCUGAAGCCCAGAGAAAUUGAAGGUAACAUGGCUACCAUGAGCUGAGACCAGAAGUUAAGCACAUACCAGUGCCAAUGAGGGAUAGGAGGACCACAGGCUCUACUGAAACUAAGUGGGUUGUGUUUCUUCAAAGCAUUGACAUACAAGAGACCUACACCAAAGAGAAGCUCUCUAAGAAGAAACAAGAAUGAUAGCGCAACAAGCUAUGGAAACUGAGCCUCAAGGAGUAACUUGGCAUGUUGAUGGUCCAGCUGAAGGAACACAGGACUCCUUACUCCUCAUUUAGAUGCUGUUUUUACUCUAUCCCAUUGUUCUGAAAAUGUUGGAACAUCAUACCUUUAAUGCAUUUUGUUUUAACCUGCAGCCCCACUUGAAAGCUCUACAAUAACACAUCUUUACCACAAAGUUCUGACAUCAGAGCACCAAGUUUAUUAUCCACCAAGCUGAGUAAAGAGCAAGUGAACAGAAAACAACACACAAUCAAUCAAGAACCUACUGCUGAUUGGUCAUGAGGAAGAGGAGAAGGAGCACUGAAUAGGAUGUUGAAGAAGAAAAUCAAGCAAAAGAAUGUCUGGAUUCUGAACUCUGCAUACGUUGCCUAUUUAAACAUAACUUCAGAAGAAGAGAAUUCUAAAGAUACAGCAAGUCUUAAGAGAGGAAAUCAACAGAAAGAAAACUCCACAGUUUCAAGUUUUAUUACUGAACAAAAAUGCUCUCCUGAAUUUCUACCUCCUUCUUCCCUGUCCCCUUUGGGCUUGAAAAAACUGUCAGCAGAUAGCCCCUUCCAGAGCCCAGUGACUUCCAAGAAAACGGGCUCAAUGUCCUUUUCCCCCAAUCCAGACAAAGAGAAUGUGAGAGCAGGACAAAGGUCUUCCAAGGGCCUUCUCGUAAAGGGUCAAUGUAAAAGACUAAACAGGAAAGGCUUUUACUUCUAAAAAGGAUCUCCUCAUUCCGUAUCUGAGUUCAUCAAAUGGGGAACUGGGGUGUGGGAGAGGAAAAGCAGU